rnacentral:lncRNA from 1 species
GACCGGUUCCCCCUCGCCCCACCCCCUUGCCUGUUCUCCCCAGCGCAAUUCCGCUCCCGGAGCUAGUCGGGCCAGGGCCCCAGCACCCGAUCCAGGGAGAGGGUCCUGGGUCUGUGUAUUGGCUGUCUCGGGCGGUGCUCUCGGUCCCUUCCACUAUCCUGCCCUCUCUACCGUUUCUCUGUUAUCUGCGCGGCCACAGACGGCGCUGGGGACCGCACAGGUAAAGUCUCGGCAAGUAAGGGCGCAGGUGUGGACGCCUCCCAGGCCGGACCCACUAGGGAGAGAUCGACAGCACGUGGCCGGCUUCCCCCCCCCCGCCCGAGGCGAUCAUACUGACCGUCUGGGAUUGGGGAGGGCGGAUGUGAACCCUGGGAACGCUGAAGUGCUUUGGGGAGAAAUAAGGGGCGGGACUGAGCCCUAGAGCUUGGGGCCGAGCCAUGUGUGUCCCCGGGUCUUGCGCAGUCUCCGUUGUGCCUGGGAGAUGGUGAGCUAGUUAGGUGUGAGUAGACACCGAGUUACCGAGGAUUGUACUCCCAUCCACCCCCCGCGAUGACUGGGUUCUGACGGCUGCCCCGCCCGGGGUGUUCACAGUCCCAGGUUUGCAGAAUGAAAAUCAAUAAAAUCGAUGCAAUGGCAAAGAACACGAAACA